rnacentral:rRNA from 1 species
CUUUACUGUAGCUUGGAAUUGGGUUCGGGCUUUGACUGCGCAGGAUAGGUGGGAGACUAUGAAGCAAUCCUUGUGGGGGUUGCUGAGUCAACGGUGAGAUACCACUCUGUCAGAGCUAGAAUUCUAACUAAAUGCCGUUAUCCGGCUUUGGAACCGUAUCAGGUGGGCAGUUUGACUGGGGCGGUCGCCUCCUAAAAGGUAACGGAGGCGCGCAAAGGUUCUCUCAGGCUGGUUGGAAAUCAGCCGUAGAGUGUAAAGGCAGAAGAGAGCUUGACUGCAAGAGCUACAACUCGAGCAGGGUGGAAACACGGCCUUAGUGAUCCGACGGCACAGCGUGGAAUGGCCGUCGCUCAACGGAUAAAAGUUA